AACUAACUAGGAUUCCCCCAGUAGCGGCGAGCGAACAGGGAUUAGCCCAGCACUGAAUCCCGCGACCGUGACCGGUCGCCGGGAGAUGUGGUGUUUAGAAGGAUCGACCAUCCGGCGGGUUCGCGGUGCGUUCAAGUCCAUCUUGAAUGGGGCCAUCGCCCAUAGAGGGUGCCAGGCCCGUAGCGACCGCUGCGACCUGCCGGAAGAUCUCUUCUUAGAGUCGGGUUGCUUGAGAGUGCAGCCCUAAGUGGGUGGUAAACUCCAUCUAAGGCUAAAUAUAACCACGAGACCGAUAGCGAACAAGUACCGUGAGGGAAAGUUGAAAAGAACUUUGAAGAGAGAGUUCAAGAGUACGUGAAACCGUUCAGGGGUAAACCUGAGAAACCCGAAAGGUCGAAUGGGGAGAUUCAUUCGCGCACUGAUGUUGGCAUGUGACGACUGCGGAAGCGGCUACGUUCGCGUGAGCCGCUCCCUUCGGUGCAUCAGCCGACGUCGGGCGCGUGCACUUCUCCCCUAGUAGGUCGUCGCGAUCCGUUGGGUGCUGUUCCACGGUCCGCAGUGUAGACCGCGAGCUCGGAUUUUCCGAAGUUUGCGGACACGCGUCAACCGAACAGCUCGCUCGACGGUUCACUGAUGGCGGGGGGCCGCGACUCAGUUCGCGUCCGGCCCGCGGCAAGUAUGCGAAUCGCAGAUGGCGAUCGGACCUGGUGCCGAUCCCGUCCGUUCGCGACUGUUCGCCGCGGUGUUCUCGGACAGACCUCCUGAAACGCCGAUCAGCGACGCUAUUGCUUUGGGUACUUUCAGGACCCGUCUUGAAACACGGACCAAGGAGUCUAGCGUGUGCGCGAGUCAUUGGGAAUCACUAAACCUAAAGGCGAAAUGAAAGUAAACGUCCGCUUCUUGCGGACCGAGGGAAGAUGGUCGGUCCUCGGACCGUCCCGCAUUCCCGGGGCGUCUCGUUCUCAUUGCGAGAUGAGGCGCACCAAGAGCGUACACGCUGGGACCCGAAAGAUGGUGAACUAUGCCUGGUCAGGACGAAGUCAGGGGAAACCCUGAUGGAGGUCCGUAGCGAUUCUGACGUGCAAAUCGAUCGUCGGAACUGGGUAUAGGGNNNNNNNNNNNNNNNNNNNNNNNNNNNNNNNNNNNNNNNNNNNNNNNNNNNNNNNNNNNNNNNNNNNNNNNNNNNNNNNNNNNNNNNNNNNNNNNNNNNNAUGUGAAGCCGCGAGAUUUCGGAUCAGAGUGCCAAGUGGGCCAUUUUUGGUAAGCAGAACUGGCGCUGUGGGAUGAACCAAACGCCGAGUUAAAGCGCCUAAAUCGACGCUUAUGGGAUACCAUGAAAGGCGUUGGUAACUUAAGACAGCAGGACGGUGGCCAUGGAAGUCGGAAUCCGCUAAGGAGUGUGUAACAACUCACCUGCCGAAGUUACUAGCCCUGAAAAUGGAUGGCGCUGAAGCGUCGUGCUUAUACUCGGCCGUCAGAGGCAUGUGCGGUCGCCCCCGAGGGGCGGCCAUGAAGCCCUGAUGAGUAGGAGGGUCGCGAAGGUGAGCGCAGAAGGGCUGGCCGUGAGGCCGUCUGGAGCCGCCUUCGGUGCAGAUCUUGGUGGUAGUAGCAAAUACUCCAGCGAGGCCCUGGAGAGCUGAGGUGGAGAAGGGUUUCGUGUGAACAGCCGUUGCACACGAGUCAGUCGAUCCUAAGCCCUAGGCGAAAGCCGAUGUUGAUGUGGCGUUGUUAACAGCGUGAUAGGUAAUGUAGCAUGCGAAUGCUAGGAUGCCUUGCGCUAGACGCACGCCCGUCGGGCGAAAGGGAAUCCGGUUCCUAUUCCGGAACCCGGCAGCGGAACCGUCCUUAAAUCGGGCCCUCGCAAGAGAGUUCGUCGGGGCAACCCAAAAGGACCCGGAGACGCCGUCGAGAGAUCCGGGAAGAGUUUUCUUUUCUGCAUAAGCGUUCGAGUUCCAUGGAAUCCUCUAGCAGGGAGAUAUGGUUUGGAACGCGAAGAGCACCGCAUUUGCGGCGGUGUCCGGAUCUUCUCCUCGGACCUUGAAAAUCCGGGAGAGGGCCACGUGUAGGCGUCGCGCCGGCUCGUACCCAUAUCCGCAGCUGGUCUCCAAGGUAAAGAGCCUCUAGUCGAUAGAAUAUGAG
rnacentral:rRNA from 1 species